GGCAGCCCAGUCAAAUUCAGAGCUUCCUGCUCAGUGGGAGCUUCUGGCCAAAGUGGCUGCUACAGUGAAGCUGUAGUUCAUGGGCCUCACGGUGCUCCACCAUCACCUCUGAGGAUAAAUAUGUACUACACACACAC
ensembl:snoRNA small nucleolar RNA SNORA5